UGGAAAAAUCUGAAAAAUAUAUGUUUAGUCGCUGAAAUGUUUUGAUGUUUAGUUCGAUGCCAUCGAAGUGAUAUCGAAAUGUCAUCGAAUGAUCAUGAAGAGUUACGCAGAGUUGCGUAAGUGUGAAAUUUAUUUCUUAUUCCGAUUGUGAUUCUGAUAAAGGCUAUAUAUGUGUGUGUAAUUGGAAUUUGGAAAGAAUAUAGAGGAGUUCUAGGUUUUCUAAUUCAUUCCAAAGCAAUUUAAGGGCUUGUGAGGGAGAUUUGAGGCUAUUUAAAUAAGUAAUCUCUAUCUCUUAUAAUUUCUUCUUUCAUAUUGUAUUAUUGUCGUUUCGUGCAAUAGUUUUUUCCUGAAAGAGUUUUUCCACAUUAAAAUCGGAUUGUUUGUGUUUGAACUUGAAUAUGCGAUCAAAAUACUUUGCUUAAUUUAUCUUUGUGUGCUCCCGUAGUCGCCCAACAAUAAAUACAUGAAGAAAUGCACCGGCAGUCCAAAUUCAACGGAGAAAUGGAAGAAGAUUUGAUGGUAUGGAUAAAUCAACCAUCAGAUCUAUGGCUUAGAUAAAUGAACCAUGCAUUGGCCCCGCAUAAAAAGAUUAGGUGCCAAACAAGGAAGUUCCACGUUCCCAGCAAACAGGAAACUCAGCCUUAGUAUAAAAGUAAAAAAUCAAAAGCAUACCUAAUAUGUUGAUCACCGGCCUAAAUUGUGGUCAAAGAGGCUCAGGCAUCAGGCCAUGGCUGAUGAAUGGAUCUGAUCUUGUACAUGUGUACCAUAAGCCACAGGACAUCUCAUUCGAUACUGUGCAGCCGCCAUCACUCUUAAACAGUAUAGUCUAUCCCCCUCUAGUCAACAAAGACUUUGUUCAUGUACUUGCACUGAAUUGCUGCAGCAGCUGCUAAUUUCUGGUGCAUUUUCUCCUUCCUCUGAACAGCGCAAAGCUAGACAAAAAUCAGAGAAAUUCCGAUGACGGACAGUAUCGUUCAAUUCGGGUUAGAAACUCUAAGUGCCCUUCUAUCUCGAGAAGCAUCACUAAUAAGAGGAGUGCGCAAUGAAGUAGAAGAAAUCAAGCUGGAACUCGAAAGUAUGCAAGCUUUGUUGAAGGAUGCUGAUAAAAGAAAAGAAAGCAAUGAAGGAGUGAGAACCUGGGUGAGGCAAGUAAGAGAUUCCACAUAUGAUGUGGAAGACAUCAUCGACGAGUUCAUGUAUCGCAUGGACAGACCACAAGGAGGUGGGCUCCGUGGUUUUCUCCUUAACAUCGUUUGCCCCCUGAAGAAUAUCUACAACAAGCAUUGCUUCGCCAUCCGACUCCAAGAAACCAAGGUUAAGGUCCAUAACCUUUUCGAUAGAGGAGUUAGCUUCGGUCUCAAUCAAAUAGGAGAAGGAACCAGCUCUCAUGAUGUUAGCAAAAUGUGGCAACGUGAUGUAGAAACUUCUCUUUCCUUGGUGGAAGAUGACAUAGUGGGGAUGAAGAAAGAAUUAGAUUUGAUAGUCAGAUGGUUGGUGGAGGAAGAACAGCAGCGCACGGUGAUUUCAGUGACGGGUAUGGGUGGGGCGGGCAAGACCGUUCUUGUCACUAAAGCCUACAAGAACGAACUAGUAAAGAAGCACUUCGACUGCUCCGCAUGUGUUUCGGUCUCACAGACUCUUAGAAUCGAUGAAGUACUGCGAAGCAUCAUAAAACAAUUCCUUGAGUCUGCAAAGGACGUUGUUCCAAAUGACCUAGCCACCAGUGAUGCCGGUGACUUAAGGCAGAUGGUUAAAAGACAUCUCAAAUCGAAAAAGUGUCUGAUUGUCUUGGAUGAUAUCUGGAGUAUGAAUGAUUGGAAUGAACUAAGUGUCAUAUUUCCAGACUACAGAUGCGGAAGCAGGUUAGUAGUUACAACAAGAGACAGUGAUGUGGCUUUUGCAGCGGGAGAGGGAAGCCGUGUCUGCCACCUUCAGCCUCUACAUCCAAAAGAGGCAUGGCAGCUAUUCUGUAAGAAGGCAUUUCGGAACAAACCCUGCCCUUCAGAGCUGCAGCCAUUGGCUCUAUCCAUAGUAGAAACAUGUCUAGGUCUGCCUCUUGCAAUUAUUGCGAUGGGCAGCCUCCUGUCAUUGAGAGAUGCGAAUGUGUUGGAAUGGAACCGAGUCUAUAAUAACCUAAGUUGGCAGUUGAAUAACAAUGAAAAGCUUGAACCAAUAAAGCGCAUCUUGUUGCUUAGCUUCUACUAUCUGCCUUACCGCCUUAAGCAUUGUUUCUUGUACUGUUGUACGUUUCCAGAAGAUUAUUUAAUUCACCGCAAGAAGUUGAUAAGGUUAUGGGUGGCAGAGGGUUUCGUUGAAGAUGCAGGUAAAAUUCCGAUGGAGGAGAUGGCUGAAGACUACCUAAAGGAACUCAUCCAUCGUAACACACUUCAGGUUGUCAAGAUGAAUCUCUCUGGAAGGGUGAGUGCUUGUCGAAUGCAUGAUAUUGUACGUGAAUUGGCCUUAUCCUUAUGCGACGAAGAAAAGUUCAGCAUCACAUACGAUGGGCAGCAAACAAGGCAAGGGGGCAAAGUACGUCGCAUGUCAAUUUACAAUUCUGGAGAAACUAUUCAACAUAGCAUGAGCAUGUCACAGCUUCGCUCUCUUUUAGUGUUUGAAGGAAGCACAUCUUUCUCUUCUUCUCUUAAUACCAUAGCAUCAAGUUUCAUGUUAUUGAGGGUCCUAGAUUUAGAGGGAGUUCCUAUUGAAAGCUUAACAGAUGAAUUGACAAAUCUAUUCAAUUUACGGUAUCUUAACUUGAGGAAUACUAAUGUUAGCGAGCUUCCAAAAUCUUUAGGAAGGUUACAGAACCUGCAAACAUUGAAUGUUAGACAAACAAGGAUCAAGAGGCUACCGAGUGGGGUUGUGAAGCUACAGAAACUACGCCACUUAAUCGGUUAUCGAUAUAAUAGGGCAGAUCCAUGGACUUUCGAGCACUUCAGUAGCAUCCACGUUCCUAUAGGAAUAUGUAAUAUAACAAGUUUACAAAGUCUAACUAGUAUCGAAGCAAAAGAAGGGGAUUUUGUGAGAAAAAUUGGGAACUUAACCCAACUGAGAAAACUUGACAUUUCCAAGGUCAGAGCAAUCAACGGAGCUGAGUUGUGCACAUCCAUCGCAAAGCUGAAAUACGUUGUUGCCUUGGGUGUUAAGGCAAUCAACGAAGAAGAACCACUUCAAUUGGAAGAGCUCUCUCCUGAUCAUCUGCCACCUUUUCAGAAGCUUUACCUGUGGGGACGUUUGGAGAAGGUGCCUCAAUGGUUUAGGUACCUUGAGCAUCUCACCGUUUUGGGGUUGUAUUGGUCUAAGCUGAGAGAAGAAGAUCUGCUUUCAUCACUCCAAGCAUUGCCCAAUCUGGUGCGCCUUUCACUUCGAAAGGCCUUUGAAGGGCAGCAGUUGUGUUUUCACGAUGGAUGGUUCCCUAAACUCAAGAAUUUAUAUUUAAGGGACCUGACACAACUAAAUCGGGUAGUGAUAGAGAAGGGAACAUUGCCAAGCAUCCAAGAGCUAUCUGUGUACAGAUGUGGAGAGUUGAAGACGCUUCCAGAAGGGAUCGAAUACCUCACCAAACUCCGAGUUCUCAGGUUAUGCGACAUGCCAACAGAAUUGACAGAGAGGUUGCAGCUAAAAGAUGGAAACGAGGAGGACCGUAGAAAGGUGGGGCACAUUCCCUUCAUCUACGGUGGACGCUGGACAGAAGAGGGGUGGGAUUGGCAUCGACUCAACUAAUCAUCCAUCGAUUUAGGUUGUUGCUCAAACAUCCCAUCCCAAAAGUUGUGAGGAGAUUAGAAGGAUGAUGAACAUUACAGGAGCAAAAUAUCUGAGGUGGUGCUACAAUCACGGAGGAUGCGGAGAUGAAGUAUGCAUUCUCAGCCAUGGACUCAAGUGAGAGGCUACGGAGGUUGUUGAUGUCUACUUUGUGAAUUUUAGGUCUAUUUGGUGCUUUGUGUCUUAAACAUUGGGCAUGUAUUGUGUUCGUGAUAAGUGUGGUUUUAUGUACACAAAUGGAAUAAUGGUUAACACCCCCAGUGGGUUUUAUGUGUGGCAAUAUGCCUUACUCAAGAUAAUUGUUAUCUAGGCAUGAUUAUGUGUUAAUAAAUAUGGAUUUUUUUUGUU